UGGGGAAUUUUGGACAAUGGGGGAAACCCUGAUCCAGCCAUCCCGCGUGUGCGAUGAAGGCCUUCGGGUUGUAAAGCACUUUUGGCAGGAAAGAAACGUCAUGGGUUAAUACCCCGUGAAACUGACGGUACCUGCAGAAUAAGCACCGGCUAACUACGUGCCAGCAGCCGCGUUAAUACGUAGGGUGCAAGCGUUAAUCGGAAUUACUGGGCGUAAAGCGUGCGCAGGCGGUUCGGAAAGAAAGAUGUGAAAUCCCAGAGCUCAACUUUGGAACUGCAUUUUUAACUACCGGUCUAGAGUGUGUCAGAGGGGGGUGGAAUUCCGCGUGUAGCAGUGAAAUGCGUAGAUAUGCGGAGGAACACCGAUGGCGAAGGCAGCCUCAUGGGAUAACACUGACGCUAAUGCUCGAAAGCGUGGGGAGCAAACAGG
rnacentral:rRNA from 1 species